AAUAUUCUUCAUCCCUCGAGCAAAGCACAUAAAAUAACCUUUAGAAUCUUUAAAUUCAGUCAGAAAACAAAUACAUUUCUCACCUCAUCUGUGCCAGCAAGUUCCAGCUAAAACACAAAUCCUGCAGGUGCUUGUAGCCAGUGUUGAAGCAUUCAGUGGGUCCAGGUUUACAGGGGUGUUGGAGCCAAAAAAAUUUACAAGUAAUUGAACCAUCCAUAUUUAUUUAGACUCUGAUUUUAAUUGUUGUUAGUUUUGUUGAGAGAUCCCUACUUUGGGGCUUCUUGCCCUUUUAUCAUGCUGCUCUGCUGUUUGUUUUGCCAGAACCUGCCCCGUGCCCACCACAUGCAUUCCUGCCUCUCUCCUCAGAGCUCACCAGGACAAGUCCCAAAUGAUCAAAUUAUAUGGAAUUACUGCACCUAUGAAGUGAGUCUCACUGGAGAGCCGCUGCCAUCAGUUGAGAACAGGUUGGAAUUGGCUAAAGAAUGCUGCUUGCAGGCAGAACAGGUGCUGGGGAUGUCACUUCAUUCAAAGCCAAUUGUGCAGGAGAAGAGCUUGUGGGAAGUUCAGUCUGAGCAAUUUGCAAAUGGCCCAAGUCUAAAUCUGGGAUAUUAUUCAGGAACACCUACACACCUACAAAACUCUUGCUAGAAGCUGCCCUCCCUUCUCCCCAGGUCCCAGGGAUGCUGGGGACAUGCCACAGAACAGCCACCACCUUCCAAGCCCAGAAGCACAUCCUGAGAUUUUUUUCUUUCUUUUGGGAGAAGGCUCCUCCUCUUGGGAGAAGGUGUUUUAUUAGAAGGAAAAACUCCUGGAAAAUAUGCUGGAGAAAUAAGUUCUUUAUCUGGACUGUAUUCAAGUGUUGUGCCUACACUGAAUGUGAAGUGACUUUCUGAUUCAAGAACCUUUUCUCUGUGAUUGACUCUCUACAAAUUCAGGCUUACUUUGAUCAAUAGAAAAUGCUGACAAUCACAACACAGCACCAUGUAACCAAAUGUCAUCAAGCAAAAAUAGUUUUUAUUCAAAUUUCAUGGAAAUGGGGAUCACUGUACUUUGCAAGACAGGGAAAAAUAAAAUAAAAAAAUUUAAUAUAAAACAAGGAUAUUGUCACAAUACCAGAAUAUGGAGCUAUAGUUCUUUUCCCUAUAGAUUACUGCAAGUACCUCUAUUUUUUUUUUUUCUUUUGACUGUGCUAUUCACAACUUUGUAAGUCCAAAAAA